rnacentral:lncRNA from 1 species
UAUUUGUCACUAUUUGACUUUGUAUAAAUUUUUAAUAUUUAAAAGUAAGUAUGAGCUAAAAUAACACCACUUUAGUUGAUAGCAUAUUAAACUUUAUAAUUGUUCAUCAUGUUUUUAAAAUUUUAAUUAAUUUUCUUUGUUAUUUAAGUCCAUUUAAAUUAUUUUUUAAAAACUUCUUAGAUUUAAUUUAAUUAAAUAAAAAAAUAAAAAAAUUCAUCCAUCCAAAAAAAAUUAUCUUUAUAAAUUUUUAUCUGUAAAUAAGAAUUAAUUACUUGAUUAUUCAUCUAUAUGGAAUUUUAUCUAAACCAAACAUCAUCCACUCUAGAAAUCUUAAUAUUAUUACCUUGAUGAUUUUUGUCUAGUCACUUUAUGAUAAUAUUAUUCUUGUAUAUCCAAAACUAUUGAAAAAAAAAUUGAUGAUUGUAUUGUUUGAUCUUUGAUGUAAUCAAUGAUCUCUAGAAAGAUUCUAAAAAGAUGCUUAAAAUGUUUCCAGUUCAUGUAUUCCUAUGUCACCUUUAUCAAUUAUAGAAAAUUACAAGAGACAACUAAUGUGUUUUUAGAAUGUUUCAUAAGAUUAAAGAUUCAUAGUGAAGCUUAUUAAGAAGUUUUGAGGAUUGGUAUAAAAGUGGCUAUAAAAAAAUUAAUAAGUAGAGGUAAUAUACUAAAUUAGUUAUAUUAUCUAUACUUAAUCAACUAUUAGAUUUUUUUUAUUUCUUAUUCAAGCCUCUACAAUAUUAUUAUGAUAUGAACUAAUGCUAAAUACUAAUUUGAAUUGUAAUUGUAUAGAACUUAAAGUUUAUGCAUAGUCUUUUUAAUUGAAUUAUACAUAUGAACUAAUCUUGAAAGCUAUACAUGAUUUAGCUCCUUCACAUAUGGAUUUAUUACCUUGUAUGAUAUAUCCAGAGUUCAAGGCCUAUCAUAUAUUUCUAAAAAAUAACUUUAUUCUUUAAAUUGUAAAUCUUGAACUGACUCAUUUAACUCUAAAGAUCUCUGGUAUUUUAAUUUUAAUUUUAAUUUCUAAUAUUAGCUGUUUUACUACUUUUAUUUAUAAUUUAAAAUUCUAUGAUAAAAAAACCAUCUAUUUUAUAAGAACAACAAUAAAAAUGAAUAUCAAUAAAGGAGUAGCUUCAUUGAAGAUAAAAGGAGUGACUAAGCAAUGACCUAGAAGAAUCAUUAUAUUGGAUGUAGGUUAGAUUUCAGAGAAAGAAAGAAAGAAAAAAUGGUUGCAACAAAUAAAAAAGGAAUUAAUACUAAUAUUAUAAAGGAGAAGUUGAAGUAGUGAGUUAUAAAGGAUCCAUUGUUGGAGUCUGAUACCAUAGAUAAGAAUAAUAUUGGGUCUUGCAUCUAUUUUAGGAACCUCAAGCACAACUCAAAGUCCAAUGUUGGUACUGAUCAGUAACUUGAUAAAAAAACCUACCUCCACAAUGUCUUGAUGCUUAUAUUAAACUUGUGAAAAAAAAGAUAUAGCAGAUAGUGAGAAGAAUGAAGUCCUUUUAUUGUCAGGAAAAGAUGGCUAAUAAGAAAAAAAAAUUAAAAUUAAAAAGAAAGACCACAAGUAGUGAAAGAGAUGAAGUUCUUCUACCACUAGAAAAUGGCCGUCUAUAAGAAAAAAUGAGGAAGAAGAAGAAAAAAUAAUAAUUAUCAACCUUGAUCAUUCAUUACUAAAAACAAGGCCAUUGAUUAUAGAAACUUUAAUUCUAGAGUACUAAAAAAAUGUGAAUUGGCAUAGCAAUUAGUAUAACAAUAAUUACAUCAAAAUUUCUUGUAAGUACAACAUUACUAAAUGAUGCCAAAAAUGGGAUGGAAGAAUGCACACAAUUAUUAAGAUCACUUGAAAGACUACUUAUUCACUUGAUUCUUCAAAUCUUUAUCAAAUUCAGAGGAAAAGAAUUAAUAACAAAAUGAAAAGAAUAAAAAAAGAUAAAAUAUAAAUAAGAAACAAUAGAAAAAUACAACUAACUUGUUUUAAAAUGUAGAGCACCAAAGAUCUAAAGAGUUGUUUCAAUCAGGUCGAUAAGCCUAACAAUGAACCAUUAACACAAAAAAAAUGACUCUUAUGCUAUAACUAUGACCAUUGUUAACUACAUCCUUUUAGUUCUUUUAAUUUAACCAUAAUAUAAUCAAUUUAGAAUGCAAAACUUGUGCUGAUAGAAGCAAUAUACACAUACUACCAUUUACAAAGAUGAUGUUUGUUAGAUUUUAUCAACAACAUUAAGAGACUUCUAAUAAUACAAAAAUAAGACCUAUUAUAAAGAAUAGGGAUAAGAUAAAAAAAAAAAAAAAAAAAAAAAAAACCAAUGUCAAGUCAUGCUACUACAAAAACAGUAAUAGAUUAAAAAAAUAAAACUAUGAAAGAAUCUGUCAGCUAGUACUAAUUGUUGGCGGCUUAGCAAUAAUAUAGUAGUAGCAACCACAUUGUUUCUACACCACAUAGUACCAUAAAUCAUCAAUUGUAGCAUCCAUUGUAGCCAAUGACAGAAUGACAAAUACAAAUCCAACCACAACAAUGCAUACAAAAGAAAUAAGUUUUGGUGUUGCUAGUAGCUUAAGAAGAGAAACCAAUUGGGCCAAUGUCUACUACAACAUUGCACACCACAACCAAAGUAAGUCAAUGCCAAAAGAGCAAUAGUUGUUCCAACUGCAAUAUAUUUAAAAUGCAAAGUUCUCACACAAAAAAAACCUCCAAAAAAAUAAAGAAAGAAGACAAGCUUUCUUGGACCUCUUCUUAAUGGAAAUUAUUUUCAAAGAAAUUAGAUCAGCACCAUCUUCUUUUAAAUUCCAUUGUCUCCUAUUGAUAUCAAUAUAACUUGAUGAAAAAUAGUGAUUAUUUGUGUGGCUCUUGUCACUACAACAAUUGUUAUUGUCAACCACUUCUAAGAAUAUUUUUUUGCCUUUGUGUCUUCCUUGCAAAUAUCAAUAUUUAAAAUUGAGCUUCUAGUUGGAUCAAAUAUAAUUUAUUUUUUUAAAAAAAAUCAUUUCCAAUAUAAUCCAUCAUCCUUGUUGUACCUACAUUUUUGCUAAUUUUUCAAUCUCAAUAAUAUGACCACUUCUCUAUACUUGAUAAUAUCAACUCUCUCAGAUCAAGAUUCAUUAAUUGUUUUUUAAUUCUUUUAAUAAUUAAAAAUAAUAAAAUAAUAAAUCUAAUAUUUUAAAAAUAUAUUUAUAAAAAAAUUUAUACUAAAAUUUCUACUAAGUAUCUCCUUCUUCCAAUUAGUAUUAAAUUUCUCACUCAUCUAAUAAUUCUUAUACUAAUUUAUCUAAAAAAAUAUUUUUUGGCACUUUAAGUGUAUUUUUAUUUUUUAAAACUAUAAAUGAAUUGUUUUGAUAAUUCACAAUUAGAUCCAAAUUUUAUUAAUAACUACAUAUAUUAAAUUGUGUUUUCCAUAUGUGCAUCAAAACUUUGCUAAAAAAGCUUCUAAAUUAUUCAAUAUUAAAUCAUGUCAUUUAUAGAAAAAUAAAAAUUAUAAUAAGGUAGAAUCUAAAAUUAAUCAUUGUAAUAAAUUUGACUUGUGAUCUUAAGACUGAAUAGCUUUGAAAUUGAAGCUCAAUGAUCAAUUGCAUUUGGUUGCUAAAACUUCAAAAAAUUGAUCUUAUACUAUCAAAUUACUCAAGAAAGUCAAAUUUUGAUUCUUUAAUAAUAAUAGUGAUGCUUAUUAGAUACUUUAUUAUAAAUAUUCAAGUAGCAUCAACCAUCUCUAUAUCUUUAUUUUUAACUAAUGUUAAUAUUGCUUAUGAUAAUAAAGUGAGUUGGUGCAAAAGAAGUACUAACUCUACUUUUUAGAUAGAACGAGUAAGAGAGACUAAAAGAAAUUAAAAAGUUUAAAUCAUUAUGUGCAUAUUAUUUGCAAAAAUUAUAAUAUCUUAUUAAAUAAUUUUAAUUAAUAAAUAUUUUAGAUCAAAAAAAUCUAUUCUAAUUACUUCUUGAGUUGAUACUUGGCCUAAGAAGUAUCAACCACAAGCACUUAUAAGAUAUAUAUCUAAUUUACAACAAAAGUUGUGUCACAUAGCCAAUUUUUACCAUAAGUGGCCAAUAUAUAUGAUAUGUGGCCAAAUUUUUGGCCAAGUUUUCAACCUAUUAACUAUCUAUAAAUACAUGUAAAGUCAAAUUUAUAUCUAUGAAGCUUCUAUAAAAAAAAAUUAAAUUAAAUUAAAUAAUUUACCUAUUUUUUAAGGAAAAUAUGGUUAAGAUAGUUGAUAGGUCAUCUUAACGAUUAAUAAUGUCUCAUUCUAAGGUAAGAAGACCAUCCUUUUAUUUGAUCAUUGUUGAGGCUUUAUAACUUCUUUCAAACAAAAUAUUUGUUAUACCAUGAAGAGUUGUUCUUACCUCCAAUGAAAUCACCAAAUAUUGAGAUUCUCUUCCACAGUCAUGAUACCAAAUGCAUUGUAUCUCACCAUCUACUUGAGGAAGAACAUGUCAUUUUUAGGAUCUUCAUCUUAAUUAUGUCAUGUCAAAGGUUGAGACAAUUGUAAUAUCUUAUCUAAUAAGUCAAAAAAUGAUGGUUCUUGAAUUAAAUCAGCUACGUGUAGAUUUUCUAUUUAGUUAGCAUUACAAAAUGUAAAGAAUUCACAAUAAAAGGUGAAAAGUUUUAACAUUCUUUGUUACAUUUAUAAGAUUCUUUAUUGGCUUUUAUGUACAUUUAUUAAUAUUAUAUCUAUACCAAUGAAUAAGUUAUUCCAACCUAUUUUGAUAUUAUCUUGAGAUUAAGACUUCUUCAACUUCAUAUUUUUAGUUGUUAUCUACUUCUAUAAAAAGAUGUGGCAUUUAUCAUCUUUUUAAUAUAUGUAUUAUCUUGUAUGGCUCAAAAAGAGAUAUAUGGAAUAUUAGAUGGAUUUUUAUAGACUUUGAUAGGUACAAUUAAUAAGCAAGUGGAUUAAUUUAUUUACAUAUAGAAAAUGGUCCAAAUCUAUGAUAAUUUAACUUGUGAAAAAGACAAAUAGUCUUGAUAUUAUGACAAAGUAAUCAUAUCUUAUUGUUAAUGUAGAAUUAAAGUUUUUCUUUGUGAUAGGCAUCUGCAUUCAUUUUUUGUUGUUCUUGAGCUUCUUUUAGAUGUGACUUUAUUGUUAUAUAUAAUUCAAAUAAUAAUUUUCCAAAUCUUCUACUAUAAAAUUAUUAAAUUUUGGAAAGUCAAAAAAAUCAGUGAAGUCAUAGAUGAUAAUUACAAUUAGCAAACAAAAAAGUUUUAUGUAUAAAAAAAAUACUAUAUUUUUAUAAGCAAACUUUGCUAAUGGAAAAAGACCAGGUUUAGGGUUUAGGAUUUAGGGUUAUUGCUAUGCUUAACUUUUGCAUGAUAAAACUUCAUUACCAGGUUUAAGUAUUUAAGCAUAACAAUAUCCAUUGUAGUACAAUUGAAAACUAUUUCAAGCAAAGACAAGCAAUCAAUCUUCAAUACCACAUGAGCACCUAUUAAGUAAAUCUUCUCAACUUUCAAUGUGAUAAGUAUAGGCAUGAUAAAACUUCAUUACCUUGGUCUCUUCCACUUGUGACAAAUAUAAAGUCUUGAAUCAAAUCUCCAUCUUCUUCUUAUAUAAGCAUUUUUUUCUCCAUUAAGUACUUAGCCCUAAAUAAUAUAUCUACCAUCAAGUUCUUUUUGCCCAUGAUAUAUACCAAAAUAAGAUUUAGAAACUUAAUUAAAGUAAUUCAUUUAAGCAUAGCAAUAUCCAUUGUAGUACAAUUGAAAACUAUUUCAAGCAAAGACAAGCAAUUAAUCUUCAAUACCACAUGAGCACCUAUUAAGUAAAUCUUCUCAACUUUCAAUGUGAUAAGUAUUAUGUGAGUUUCAUGAUAUAUUGUGGAUUGAACAGGUUUUAGAGUUUUAGGGUUUAUGAUUUAGGCUACUUAUACUACAUAAAAGAAUUUGGGCUACUUAUAUCAAGAUCAAAGACUGCUAUUAGUAGAAGGAUUUAUACAAGGAUGUAAAAGAGUUUGUAAAAUCUUAUAAAGUGUGCCACUUAUAAUCUAAGGUGAGAUAUAAAGAUGGUUUAUGUCCUACCUAUCUACUUGCCAUUCAUUUUCAAUGGAUGAUUGAUUUGGUUGCUAUACUAAUGGACCUUUGGAGUAUAAAAUAUUUAAUUUUGGCAAGAGAAGAAGUCUCCAAUAAUAUAGAAGGAAGGACAUUGAGAUCAAAGUCUAUGGAGGUGGUAUAUUAGUUUAUUUUAGAAGAUAUUAUAUAUUGCUAUAGAAGCAUUGGAAGAAUGAGGGCACACUAGGGUGAGCUUGAUAUGGCAGAGGCACAUGAUUUUUUCACAAGAUAUAAGUUACAAUUAAAAUUGGCAACUUCCUACAACCUCAAAGCUAAUAAUAAGAGUGAAAAGAAGCACCUUUUAAUCAUUCAAGUUUUCAUCAAGGCAUAUACGAAUCAAUUAAGGUUGUCACCUAAGCUUUUGUCAUUUACUUUAUGGACAAAUAGGAUUACUCAUAGCAUAGUUACUUCCUAUACGCCUAUGGAAUUGAUGUUGGAGCAAAAGCCCUUAAUGCCUACAAAGAAGUUUAUUUGUUGUAGAUUGUUUUUGUCUUGAGAAGAUGGCAUUGACAGAGAGAGAUUGUUGGAGCUUUGAAUUUGCUAAUUAGAGAGAUUGUCCAAAGAUCAUCAAGUUGCUAUAGAGAAGAUUAAGGCAGCAAGGUUGAAGAACAAAGAGAGAUUUGAUAAAACUCAUUAAUUACAGCCUAAGCUAAUUAAAGAAAGUGAUUGGAUUUUGAUUUAUAAUAGUAGUUUGAUACACCAACAUUCUACUCUUUAUAAAUUUAUAUGACAUUGGUUUGGACCCUAUGUGGUAGUUAAAGUAUAUGAUAAUGUAACUUAUUUUCUUUAAAAGUUAGAUGGGAUACUAUUAAAGUCUAGAAUUGCAGGAAAGCAAAUUAAAAUCUUCAAGCAUUGAAAUGGGAUGAAUUAUAUGGAAGAUUUAGAAGCUUUUGAGCCUCAAUAUUUUGAUCAAUGGUUCAAAAGUGAUAUGGCUAACAAUAAAUCUGAUUUUGAUGAUGAAGGUGUUGUGGUUUAAUUCUUUAACAUACAUUAGAGUAUAUACAUAUUUGGAGGAGAUGAAUGUCUUGAUACACUUAAUUUAAGUAUAUCAAAGAUAUUUAGAAGGUAAUUAGUUUUACUUAUAGGAAGGAAGAAUAUAAUGCUAAUAUAUUUACAAAUUUUAAAUAGAAUUUAUAAUAUGAAAUUGUUAUCUUCAAUAGAUUAUUCAAGCUUUAAGGAUAUUAUCUUUUAAAGUAGAUAUGUAAUUCUAUAGUAAUUUAAGGUGGAUAUUAAGGAAGGUUAAGAAAGGAGAUUUAUUAAUAUCAAAUAGGAUUUCUUGCUUAAAUAGGUGUGUGUGGAAGGAGGUCGCUAGAUUUUUUGAAUAGCAAGAUUAAAGAUUGGUUGGAAUUUUCUAUGCCAUUUAUUGGAUUUUUAUUAAUUUAUUUUGAUUUUGAAAAAAUUUAGAUCUUUUUGUUAACUUUCUAAAAAGUCUAAGCAUGUAAGAAAUGGAAUUGUGAUAAGAGAGAUUCAAGCAAAUUUGUACAACGAGAAUCAAUGGAGUUUUCAAACAACAAGUUUCAAAAUUAGUUAGAGGCUUUCUAUGUCAUUUACUACAUUUUUGUCUUUUUGUAUUGAAAUUUGAAAAAAAACUAGAUCUUAUUGUAAGCUUUUCAAUAAGCCCUAGUACGCAAGAAAUAGAGUUGUGAUGAAGGAAAACCAAGAAAAUUUGUGGAUAAGAGUUUUGAAGGCUUCAAUUAUAAUAAGCAACCAACUUUUCCUUAAUUUGGUUCUUAAUUUAUUUCAAACUUAUUUAUUGACUUUGACAUUUUGAAGUUUAUAGCUUGAAUUAAGCUCAAUGAACUAAAUUUUACCUAUACUAAGUUAGUACUAAAUGAAUUAUAGAUAUUUUAGUGAGAGGAGGUUUAGAUUUGAGAUUAAGAUUAGGGGUUGGAUGCAUCUUAGUACAAAAAAGGAAUUAAUCUAAAAUUUGAACAUAACCUUUGGGCUACUCUUUUAUAUUUGAAUUCAUUUAGAUAAUAUUAUACUUACUUGCAAUCCCAUAUUUUUAUGAGCAAGUUUGUUUUCUUGAUAGUAGCAAAUAUAUAUAUCAUUGUGGUCUUAUUAUAAAAUUAUAUUAUCAUUGAUUAAUUAUUAAUAAUUAAUUAUUAUAACUAAUCAAUUUUUUAUUUAAAUAAUUAUUAUAAUAUCUUAAUCUAAUUUAAUAGAAUUGUGUAGUUUUUAGAUAGAUUAAGUAUUUCUAAAGUGCUUUAAAUAAUUUGAUUCUAAUGUCUAGAUUUUAAGUUUUUUUAACUAAGAUAUUUAAGGUUUAAGUAGGUUGGAUAUUCCCAACCUACCUUGGACCUUGUUGUUUAGGUUUUUUUAUUAUUUGGACUAUUUUAGUUUGAAUCUACUACUAAAUUAGUUGAAUUUAUUAACACCAAUUAACAUGUGAUAUAGCUACUAAUUUUAUGUCACAUUGAUAUUAAAGAUCAUUUAGAAAAAGCAUAGGUUAACUCAUCAUAUUAGGAAAGCAAAGAAAGAAAUCUUAUAUUAUUCAAAGAUAGUUUAAUUAUUACCAAUCACAUUAGACUACAUAAUACAAGUUAGCAUUCUAUGCAUGAGUAUUUAACAUUGAAUAUUCUAAGAAUUUUAGAAAAUUUUUUUAGAUACUACAAUUCUUAUCAUAUUAAUUAUGAUAAUAAAAUAAUAUUUUAUUUAUACUAUUUGAAAAAAAUAAAACUACAUUUUUUAAACCAACCUUUAAGAGGGGACUAUAACAAAAAAGAAUAAAAUACAAAAAAGCCAUUACAUAGUUAGAAAAAUUAGCAAUGAUUCUAAAAUUAUAUUAUUUGUUACUUACAGCAAACAAAGAAAUGAUUACUGUAACGAAAACAUGUUUGAAAUCUAAAAUAUUAUGUUGAGCCAACUAAUAGUAUUACUAGUAAAACUUAUGAGUUUUAAGAUAGCAUCAUAUUAUUCACUAGCAGAUUAAGAGAAAGACAUUGAUGAUAGAAGAAACGUGAACCACUUGCUGAAGGCGACUGACUUCGGAUACGGUUGGCUGCACAGGUUAGUCCUCCCAAACAGCUUCAGAAUUUGAUUUCAGUGCUUAAAACUCAUUAGUAAACUGAUUGUUUAUUGAAAUUAGCAUCCAUGUGCAUUAUUAUGUCGCAGAAAUCACCACAAUGUCUUUAAGUAAUAUGGACAAUCAUAGUGUUAACAUAAUACUGGGACUCAGCUACAUAACUGUACUAACUAUACUGAAACUUCAUAGUAAUCAUGCGUUUCCUUCGUGUGCUAUGCCUGUGUUGAAACAGUGAAGUAUGGAUCACUUUGUGAGGGCAAAAAUUAUCUUUUUGGAUAUCCAACGGGAGUGGUACAAAAUCAAGCGUGCAUGAAAUCAGCUGUUCGGUUGCUUGAACAUGCGAUGUAAUAGACCACUCUUUCCAGAUAACAGAGUUUCAGAAUAAAAAGCUAAUGCCAAAUCGACUUACAUAAAUUUUGAUACUCCAUUAGAUGGAUAUGAACAGAACUUAUGCUGUUCAUCUAGAUGUUUUCACCUUGAUCAUGAUGCACGUGAUGUAAAUUCUCUCAAAUUAGCUCUCUCCACCUCAUUGAUCGAUCAACACUACUUCCUCUGCGCCCAGAGACUAACGUUGACACAGUCAACCUUGAAUUCAAUAACAUAAUGUACACUAGUACACACUUUUUUAAUUGUUGAAGAGAACUAAAGCAAUAUCUUCCUCCCUUCAUUUGAGGAUCCAAGAGCAUUCCUUCCGUCUCCCCUGUGAGCUACUUCACACAACUCCAACACUAGAUUCGCUUUCUCUAUGCACAUAUUCUCAAGAUCAAAAAUAUUCUCGAAAUUGUUACUGCAGCUAAUUCCUGUUCAUUCCUAUUCAUGUUCGGACAGUGAACACGUUCUAUAUGUUUACAGAGACCGUAGAAGAGGAUAGUCACGCAGCAGCUCCCGCUCACUUAGUGUAUCAUUUUCAUCUUGCGGCGUCCACAGCACUUCCACAGCCUGAAUAGAAUCAGCUGAGAUGGAACCUAAUUUCCGCAGGGCGGCUUUCAGAUCAGCGUUGCCAUUGAUUGCUGGAAGCUUAUACUCUCCUUCAGCCGCUACCAGAAUCGUCACCUUUCAUAAAGAAAUCGCAGAUAACGGAAUUAUGAGUCAUAGAUCAGUCCACUGCGCUUCAAUGAUCCACAAGGCAAGAAUUAAGGAGAUGAGAGCUUACCACAAUGUACUCGUUGUUGAAUCUAUCUGCUUUUGGUGCUCCCAUCAUCCGCUUCCGUAGAUUGCUCACAUUCACUAGAGUCUCUUCGUCAAACUUGCCUCUCUCUUCCAGAGAAUAACUAUUGAACCGUUCCUCGGCCAUGCUGAUUGACCUGUUAAUAUCAUGCUGCAAUACAAAACCAACAUAAAUUUAAGAGAGAAUUCGCAAUUAACGUGCAUUCAAAAAAUAUUUACAAUCACGACCUCCCAACAUCGUGCCAUACCGAUGUAAAUCCUGAGAUGCAAUAAUCAGGGUGUCUCAACAGAGCCAAGCACGUUUCUGUGAGAACAUAGUGUAGGCCCUCUGCUGUAAUGGUAUCGGCCUGCCCCGCAAUACGGUCCAAGUCACGUUGAAGAGUACGCCCCAUGCCCAACAAUCCCACCUGAUUGCAAAUCACAGUGGCCAACCCUACACCCCUUUAGAUGAUGACACAGCAAGCUUCUCAGCUUCCUCUACUUUUCGAAACAAAAACUCUCUAAUUCCUUGGAUUUAAGUUUUGAACACCUUAAAAUGCUUGCUGCCAGUGUCAGACGAACUCUGAAUAGAAGUCCACUCAUAACAAACAGACAAAGACAGCAUAACAAAAUUCACAUGCAAUCACCCAUGUUGUAGUACCUGAAGCUUCAACACGCUGACCUUCUGGGAGCCAUUGAGCAAUGACCCACCCAACCCCGAACGCUCCGAAACAAACCCGUACACGGCUUGCAAGACGAUGAACCCCAAGAUGACCAAGAAGAAGAUGCUCCCUCCACCUAGUCCAAUUCCAAAGAACGGCGAUGGUGCAGCGUACAAACCACCACCAAAAAAAGGUGAUGGAGCAGCAUACGGGACGGCAUACGAGAAUCCUGGACUUGGCGCAAUAUACUGCCUGGGCGUGGCGUAUCCACCUGAGGGGGAUCCCGAGUACGAUCGACUAGGGGCUGAGUAAGAUUUGCUGGAGAAUGAGCUUCCACCCCCUACUUUACCCCCCACUCUCCCUCCACCUGCAGCAAAUGCCGUUUCAGCAUUGCUCUGUGUCAGCAACAAGCUCAAUAUGAUCACCAUCGUUGGCUUCGAAAUUCGGUCAACUAGUUGCUGCCACAUCUCUCCAGCGCCUUGCCUGUUCACACCAUCACCGACAUCUUUCUCGCUAUGUCUGAGGGCCACCUCAAUGCACUUGAAGAAGCGUCUCUGACAGGUAAUUGUGACCCUGCGAGUGCAAAGAGAGACAAUCCCUGUACCGAAGAGGUGACUCUCAGAAAAGGAUGCAGAAUUGAGAGCAAGGGCUUUCCAGGGGGCCGAAGAUGAGCAUGCGGUAUUGCCCCUAAAAGCUAUGUGGCUAGAAGCCGCAACUGCCACGGCCAUGACUUCUUACAAGCCUAAGAUCCACUUCCAAAAUUCAAUGCAAAAACGAAACUGAAGUACAAUCGAAAGAGUAUACAGAGGAGGAAAUGAAUAACGGGAAGAAAACACAGGUGACAAGAGAGAAGGAGUGGGAGCUGGCGGAAAAUAUCUGGCAAUGACGGCGACGUGGAUGUAAAGUAGAAGUGGGGGAAUCACAUCGUGGUGGUGGUGUGCAAGGGGGGCCUUGUGCGUGGCUGCCAGGUUAUGGUUGCAGCAUUGGAUUGGUCAGAUAUUAGAGAAGAACGAGAGAAGCAGAGCAGAGCAGCACGAGAGGAGGGUCCAAGCCAUCAAUCAAUCACCGCGAAACCACCAUGAAUGGUAGGAGGGAGGACGAGGGGAGAGACUGCCAGACGGAGGAGACGAGACGAGACGAGAGCCACACGGUUGGGUGCCAAUGGCGUCGCUGAGGGGGGAGGCCGCCUCAUCCGAACCGGAGUGCGCCAAUCGCCUUCCUUCCUUCCUUGCCUGCCUGCCUGUCUCUCCCAAGCUCACUCACUGGCAGUCAUUGGGUAUACAGGAUCGGAAUCACGCAACAUAUUGAAUGAUAUAACUAUUUGUACUGUAGUACUCCCUCUCAUCUCAUUUCUACACGCAUCCUUCAAUCAUGCCCGUCCGUCCUUCGUCGUCAUUCUAACUUACUCACUCUCACACAGCACCUGGAUGAUGCCGUUCUCCCCCUCUGAUCCCACCGAUCCCUCCUCCCUGCCUUCCUUCCUUUCUUCCUUCCUCCCUCCGUGGUCUUAUCAGGAAAUUGAUUACCCGCUGCGACGGGCAUUUUCUCUCAGUUAGAGUGAAAGACGUGAUAAUCUGGUAUCUUGGUGUGUGCCAAAUCCGUGUGAGGAGGAACCCUUGCCAGAAUUGCUGUCCCAUGCACGGUUCUCGAAAAUCGGCUAUCAGGGUUCGGGCGCCAUCAUUUGAGCUACACAGCCCUGGCAUGAAAUUUGAGAAUUCGAGUAUCGAGUCUUGGUGUUUGUUUGUCAUUGCGAUCAUGCCGAAAGUGGGAUUCUAUACUAAAUGUGCGACCCCGAUGAAGAGAUCUGGACCAAGCUCGACGUCGCAGCAUGCAUACAUACGUACAUACAUACUAUACCAGAAGUGCUGAAGCCGGAACAAUCCUGGACUAGCUCCAUUCUCCCUCUUUCACUCGUCUCUUCUUCAUCCAUUCCUAUUUUUGUUCACCAAAUUUAAAAGCUUGCUGAAUGUUUAUUAAAGGAACUUCAAGUUCCACCACAGAAUGCUAAUUAUAACUUUUAUUGGUGACAAAGUGGCAACACUCUAAGAAGAAUGAGAUCAUAUUUCUUAAUGAUAGAUAUGGGUGUGGAUAUUGUAACAAUUACACCAUAAAAGUAGUGUUAAUUGGUUAUUUUUAGAAAAUUGCAAAUUGUGUCCCACUUUACUUCGAUCUUUUGGUUAACAAACUUUGUGGUUAAACGGUAUGUUAAAGUUGCAUUUAUUUGAAACAUUCUUUCAAUUGCAAAUUCAAGCAACAAUGCAAUCUGUGUUGUUUCUUAUUUGUUCUUGAACUCUAAUUAGAAUAGUUUUUUUUAAAUUAUAUCAAUUGGUUGAUAAUCAUUCAUUCUUGCAAAUUUAGUCUUUAGCUCUUGGUUUCUUUAUUUUCUAUUUAAUUAAGAGAUGCAUCAAAAUCAAAAUCUAUAAUUUUGGAACUUGAGUACUAUUUAAUAAUUUUUUAUUUCAAAGGAAAAUUAUGUUUGUAGUUUAGAAUUAUAAAUAAUUAGUACUACAAAUUAUUUUUGAUUUAUUUUUCAGUUUGAAUUUAAAUUGAGUUAAAAUAAGAACUGAAUUAAAGUUAAGACUGUUAAUAAAUUCUGGUUUUGACUUUAGCACAUGUUGAAUUUGGCAAAAAUACAUAUGCACUUAAUACAACUCUUUGUCCUAAUAUAGUUUACAACAGCACAAAUUUUCAUGUGAACAUGUUUCUAACUUGUUAGCUAAAAUUUUAAUAAUAUUUUAGCUAUUUUAAAUGAAUUAUAUAAGAAAUGAUUAAAUAUUUUAAAAAAUAAAUCUGUUUUGAAAAGAUGACAUAUUUGUUUGCAUUUUAAAAGAAAAUUUUAAAAGUUAUUAUUUCUUUUUAUGAUAUUCCAUUGAGUUACAUACAAUAACUUGUCAAAAAUAAAAUAAUAAUAUGGAUGAAGAUAAAGAAACUUAUAAAAAAAUUGAUUAGAAAAAUACAUAUAUAUAUAUAUAUAUGUAUAUAUAUAUAUUAUUAAUACACACAAUGUCAAAAGCAAGUAUGUAGUACUAAAAACACACAUCAAAGAUUUUAUAUUAAUUUGAUUCUGAUAGCAAUGGUACUGACAAAGUUGGUUCCCAGCAAUAGUUACUAGAAGUUAGGACAAACUAGAGCCAUCACCAAGUAUUCAAUUGUGAAUUGAAACCUGCCAGGCUAAGUUGCAAAUAGUGCUGGAGUAGCAUAGAUGCUUGCUCCAUUGAUCUCCUACAGUAGAAUGUGGUUACAUGUCCAAGCCCAUGUUGGAGUUAUUUAAAUGCAAGUGCAGGAGCCGUUUGUUAUUUGCUGGAGCUUGAUUAGGACUCCCAUGUUGUCUUUGGAUUGCAAAAGCAUUUCAGAUUUGUAACUUACUCUUAUGUUAGGGUUGCCAAUAGGUAUGCUUCCCACACCUACUUCACCUUUGUAGCAUGCUGCUGAGUUGAUAUUAUUGACUUGAAAUACAGAUUGGUGAAAAGUUAGAUUUACAAAUUAUUGAUCACAAAUUACAAAUGUGUUCCAUAGGGUGGAAAGGACCAUACCACAAAUGAGAUGUGAUAGAUGGCAUCAUUGGGACUGUUCUUAAGAAAUUUAGCAACUAGGCUGUCUUGCCCCAUGGGAUGUAAAAACUCAAUGAAUACAUUUGACAAUUGAACAAAAAUUUGUUCACUUUGAGAUUGAUGUGAUCUUGCACAUGCAUAAACCCUAAACCAGGUUUUUAGGGCUCCAUGGACACCUCUUCAUUGUAUUUCUAAUAUGAGACUGGCUUGAUUAUUAUUAUAUGCUUUAAUUUUAAAUACAUAUUAACAGAUGUCUUACAAGAAAAAAAAAAAAAAACGUAAUUUAAAUAAAUUUUAUAAAAUGAAUUGAUGCUGAUUUUUUUUAAUUUUUUAUUUCAAGAAAAUUAUUUUAAUUACAACAGGUGAUUGACUUAAAAUUUAAAGAAAAAAUCAGGUAUUUUUUUUCAACUGUAUACAAUAUCAAUGGAUACAAUGUUAGAAAUAAAAUCAAAAUCAAUACAUAUUUUUAUAAAGAAUUAUAUAUAUAUAUAUAUAUAUAGAUAUAUAUAAUAUUUCUUCAAUUUCCAGCCACAAUACAUAUUUAAAAUUAAUUCAACUCAUAUUUUAAAUUAUUAUAAAAUCAAAAUUAUAAACUUGUCUAUUAUAGUAUUAAAAUAAUUAGUACCGUGUUGAUUAAUUGUUUUAUUUAUAUUUUUUCCAUAUUUGUGAAGCUUGCAUUUGCUACACCAUGACUUGAUUUCUCAUUCACCUAAAUAUUUUAAAUACAAUUUGUCUAUUUUCACUUAUCCUCUCUACUCACAACAAUAAUAACACUCAAUAUAACAUUAUGACAAAAGUUGGAUAUAAGUUUUGUUGUAAAUUUUCAAAACAAAUCAUGACAUUAUAUACAUGUAUAUACAUACUCAAUAUGCAUGUAAUUUUAUUAUAAAGUUUUCAUUUUAGAUAUCCUCCUUAAAUUUAGAAAUAAACUAUAAAUAUAUAAAUUCCAACUUAACACAAUUGCUUACAAAGUUCCUAUGACUUUCCAAUACAACUAUCUAAGAAAUAAUUUUAGUGACUUUUUAUCAAAAAGUGUUCUAUUUCCACCUUGCCCAUCACCACUUUUGCCAAAGUGCUCCUUGAUCUUGUGUACUUUUAGAUAGACUACAUUACAAAUAAACAAUAUAACUGAAAUUCACAAAAGUAUAUAUUUCAACACACAUAAAGAAUAAAAUGAAACUAAAAAAUACAUACUCACAUAAUUGUAAAUAUGCAAGAAGUAUAUUGAAAAUGAGAUAAUUACUUAUAUAUUUUUAUGGCUGAGGGUAAAGGAUUUCAAAGUUGAAGUGGUUGGGAAGAGAGAAUGCAUAACCAACCCUCCUUCCAGGUUUUUAGCGUGAGUCCACUCCUUUUUUUUCUGUAUACCGGGGCCGGUAUACAGAUGAAGGGGCCGUGGUGUCCGAGGGAGGGAGGGAGGGAGGGCUGGAGAUCCUGGCGCAUGGUCUCUCUCGUAAACUAGUUAGUUAGUGAGGCAGCCCCUACCUCUUCCCCCCCUGCUUCGGGUUCGUCCAAUUUCUUCACACUUGGUGAAAUUAGGGUUGUGUGUGUGUCUUCCUACCCCCUCUCUCUGCUUCCUUCGCGUUGAGCCAAUUCCUUCAUUCUUCAUGCUUCAUGGAUGUUUAAGGUUGUGUGUUGCUUCAGCCCUCUCUGCUCUUCCCAAUGCAUUGCCGUCCUCCUCCUGCUCCUGCUCCUCCCUCUUCGCCUCCUUAACCCUCCUCAUGUCCUUAUGCCCUUUCUUCAAGCUCCCUCCGCCAUGGACCUUGACGAUCCUGAUGCGAAUUCGAAGGAGCGGCGCGAGGAGGAGAACAUGAUGCGGGAUGCAUUGGAAGGCCUGCCGGAUUGGAGGAGCGAGGAUGGUGACUGGGGGAGACGAGGGGAUGAGAGGAGCAAUCGCAUACAGGAGGAGCAGGAUUUGGUGGAUGCGAUCUCCAAGCGUACGCGAGCUCACUACUCGCUCGCUGAUAUGUCGCUUGAUCAACUGGAGACUUUUCUGCAGGAAUCGGACGAGGAGGAUUAUUUCCAAAAUGUUGAUGAUGAAGAGGAGUAUCGGAAGUUUUUAGCUGCCGUGCAAGAGAAUGUCGGAGCUCAGGAUGGUGGCUCGAAGGUGAGGCUACUGAGCAUCGUACGCCCUGGACAAUAUUCCUUUGAUUUGCUACUAUGUUAGAUUCCCUUGGAGAUGCGUGCCGAUGCUGCUCAAUAGAUUGAUGGCCGAAUAGUCGAUGCGCUUGAAUAACAUAAUAACUGUAAGUCUUCAUAUCGAUGUAAACGGUACAUUUUUUUAGCUCUUUGUCUUAAGUUUCAAUCUCCAGGUGCUGUGAGAAGAGAUAAUACUCGAGCUUAUUCUGGAUUGAAUCAUGACAUUUCAGAAGCGCUUUUUUGAAAUUUAUGUCUUGUAUGUAUGCCACCAUAAAGCAGGAGAAAGUGAUCGAGUCCAGCGAGAGCGAGGAUGAAGAUGCUGACUUCGAGGUUGAAAUUGAGGAAGCUCUGGAAAGUGAUAUCGAAGAAAGCUUAGAUGGUAUUAGUCGGAAAAGAAAACGUGCUCGCCGACCCGUAACCAGAGAGAAGCGGCGAAAAAGAGAGUCUCUACAAAAUAGAGUGCUCCUUUCUGGGCGCUCUAAGGCUCCACUCCGGCCCUUAUUGCCCUGUGCUCGGAAUGUCUCAGUUUCUAAUCGGAGUAGGUUUUCAAUAGGGAGUGCGGCUAGACCAUGGAUAACUAAUACAAAGAUACAUCCUUUAGUGUGUGGAUUUACAGCUCAUCAAAUCGGGCAGCUCUAUUGUUUGAUGCAUGAGCAUGUGCAGCUACUUCUGCAAGUGUAUGUUAUGUGUAAAUUAGAACCAACAAUGCAGCAGACCGCGGUAGAUACGUACAGAAUGUUGAUGGAACUAGUUGAAAAACGUGAGGCUGUUUUAUCGUGGAAGAGAUGCGCAUUCCCUGAUUUCUGUUUUCGUCCACCAUAUAUCCACCCUUCUGUUGCUGAGGACGGUGUAUCUUGCUUUCAAAAUUUCCCGUCCAAAACUCCGCAGGUUGUUGGGAGCAAAGAAGAUGUUUCUUCUGCCCGCAUGACAUCUAGUUUAGGUCCUGGUGACUCUGGAAUGAGCGUAGAAUCUAUCUGCCCAAUUGAUGGUAGACACUCGGGUGCAACCUUUGCAGAGUCUCUGAAUUCCUCUUCAGGGCAGAUAGAGACAAUCGACAAUGCCUUCGGAAGUGAAUCGGCUUUAUCUGCGUCUCCAACUAUUCCGGUGUCGCUACCUUUGGAAUGGGUGCCGGCGAGCUCUGGUCCUGUAAGAUCGUUAAUGGACGUAGCUCCUCUAGCACUUGUAAGGGAGUUCACGGCAGUUGUUGAGAAGUGUAUGUUCCAUUGUUCCUUCGGAUUUCAAUUUCAGCUUAAACAGCUCAACUUUGUGGGUUUAGAGGGUGAUUGCAUCUUUUGCCACAGCCAUCAUUCCACUGUAAUUUCGGAUUGUUCUAAGCCUAUGAUUCAAUGCAGUUGUUGAAACCAGGAAGCAGCAUUCCCAAGAUGAAGCAUCAGAGCAUUCAUUGAUACCACUUUUUUCUGUUCGGCUGCAAGUAAGUGAUGGUUCAAAAUCAACAUGUGAACGGAUCAAGGCACGCUCCUCAUCUCCUCGUCUGAAAAAGACAAUGGCAGCAGCACUUGUGGAGAGUGCCAAGAAGCAAACUUUGGCGAUGGUUCCCAAGGACAUCGCUGUAGCUAUGGAGCGAUUUUGUCCCCUCUUCAACAAAAGUCUAUUUCCGCACAAAGCACCUCCAGCCGCUGUUGCCAAUCGACUUUUGUUUACAGAUGCCGAGGACGAGUGAGUCCCAUUAGUGCCUCUCAACAUUGUCUAAUGGCUUUGGUGAUGGUUAUUAUUGUCUUGCUCGUCGUGUUUAUGUUUUUGCCCACUCUUGAAAUGCUAGGUUAUUGGCGAUGGGACUGAUGACCUACAACAAUGACUGGAAGGCAAUUCAAGAACGGUUUCUUCCAUCUAAAUCAAUGCAUCAGGUAAAGUGUAAUCGUACAGCUUUUCCAUGUCGAAAGAUGAAUUGUUUGAGCAUCAACAUCGACGCUUGCGUUCAUCUGGGUGUCACGAAGUCCGAGUUCGUCAAUCUGAAUGCUGUGAAUUCAAUUCAUGAUUUACUUGACUGUUCCUUAACGUUUAUCUCUAUUUAAGUAUUACUAGGAAACAACAGCAACUUUAAAUUCUCAAAUACUCUAUCCCAAUAUGAACAGUAGUUCUGGAUAUUGCAGAGGGUUUAAUAGUUGCUUCGUCCAAUUUAACUCUUUCCCGUUACCGCCAUGUUCAUGAGAUAUCUUAUCUUGGAUUUCGAUCUAUGCAGAUUUUUGUUAGGCAGAAGAAUCGCAGUUCUGCAAGGGCUCCCCAGAAUUCUAUAAAGGUGUUCACUUGACAGAGUAAUCUCCCGGUUUUUGGUCCACUACUUGUGGUUUGUAAUUUCCUAUAUUGUGAUUAUUGAUACACUGCUUCGCCCUUGAAGCUAAUGAGUGGGAAAGGUUGGUUUUCAUCAUAUAAUUUGUACACCUAAUUGCAAGUUCAUGAUCCAUCACGAAUUUAAUUUCAGCGUCUUUCAACCAUUUGUCAUCUUCUAUAUCUUUUUCUUUGAUACAGCAUGUCAUCCCAGACUUGUCACUGACUACUGGCAUACUGCUUGAAUGUUUUUUUCAGGCUGUGAGGAAGAUGAAGUUGUCUCCACUGACUUCAGAUGAGAUAGUUUGCAUCGAAGAGGUGAGCUACAUCCUUAUUAAUCUGUUGUUAAUGAACAGCCCUUCACGUAAAGCUAGGACAGGUUGGACCUGUCAUUUGAUGUUUCUUAUAAACAACUUUUACAUGACCUUUCAAAAUUGCUGUGAUGUGCCGUCAAGCAGUAUUGGUUGAUUAUAUUUUGUUUCGUUAAUCCUACGAAUUUAUCAGGCACUGAAGGUGUACAAAUAUGAUUGGGCCAAAGUGUGUCAUAACUGUGUACCUCAUCGGGACCCAGCGACACUUCCUCGACAAUGGCGAAUUGCCCUUGGCACUCAAAAAUCUUACAAGUCCAACAUGAACAGCAAAGAUAAACGUAGGCUUUGUGACGCUGGAAAGCGCGAAGGUUUGACCGGCACAGUUGAAAACUUCCUAUCCCUGGUACAGUAUUCCCGAUAACCGAGUAUGCUUUUCUGGUACAGGACUGUAAAUGUGUAUUGACAACUCAACAUGAAUACACGAAUUGUAAUCACAAUAGAUGGUGUUCUAUGCAGGAAAAGGUUUAUUCGGAACCCUGCAAUAAGGCUGGCUGCAGCAGACAUAAUGAAGAGAUGGUGAAAUCGCAACCCCAUGAUGGGUUUUCAAGUGAUUUGUGCACUUCAACAUCCAGACGCAUGUCAGGUAAAAUUCUUACAGAUACAAUCGGACCACUUGCCACUUAUUCAAGGCAAAGAAAUAAGGAUGGUAAUUGGCGAACAGAUUCUUUCUCCCGAUGUCCUGGUACACAUGACACUCGGUCGAAAUCCUCUAGAUGUGUAAAUUCCAAAGUCUACACUUCACAACCUUGUAUCUCUCGUGCUACAGCCGAACAAACUGUAAAGCUAGCCCCUGGAUUGCCACCUCUCAAACUUCCGUCGACUGUGCGGGUCCUGACUCAUUCCGAAAAAUCUCAACAGCCAGUUCUUGAUGUUCAUCGCGGCAUUGCCAAGACUGGUUCAAAACACAAAUCAAACAAUUCCUGUUUACGUGGACAAAAUUAAACAAGUUAGAAGAGUGCCUGUCGGGUUAAAUUCCUUCAUAUGAGAGAUACAAUCAUUUGAACCUGUCGGUAAGUGGCAUGAAGCUGCUUUUCAAAUGCACAGUUUGCGGAGACAAAUUUGGCAUUUCUCGUAUUCAGUGUCCAGGGCAGGAUUGCGUAAAUACGACGGAGUUAACUUGUGCAGUUACAAGUCAGGCACGAUUAUACAUCACCUGGUCUUCACUUGUGUUUUAACAAAGAUUUAGAACUUAUAAGAUUUUUUUGAAGUUCGAUCUUGAACACUUUCAAUACUGUGCAUCGUUUCAGAUCAAUGAUAGUGUGCUUUCACAACUGUAAAGGAUUGCGAGACCACAGAUUCAGUAUUAGCUUCUCCCAGUUGUACAACUGAUUCGUAUCUUCUUUUUCAAAUUGUUCAAAUUUAAGGAAACAACAUUAUUAUCAAGUUGGUUACUUGAAACCGUUCUUGUGACAACACUUGAUCGAAUUUCGUUAUCAGAAUGCAAUUUGGAGUUCAAAGGAACUUUAUCCCAGGCUUGUGGGCUAUGAAGGUCAAUCUAGCUAGCUAGAUUCUGCAAGUAUAAAUUAAUCAUGAAAUUAUAUUGGUUGUACACUUCAGAUUUGUUUCUUUGGUUGAAUUUAUUGAGUGUAAAUGUGUGCAUGUUCUUAAAAUUGGUUAUGAAGUUGAAUAUAUAUAUAUAUAUAUAUGUGUGUGUGUGUGUGUGUGUGUGUACCUGGAACACCAUGUUAGUAUUACACUAAAAUGAGUUUGUAACCCUGAAUAUUUUGUUUUGUUUUGUUUUUGUUUUUUUUUUUUGUUUUUUUUUUUUUUUGGUACAUCACAACUUUUAUGGACCGUUUACAAAUAUUGGUUUAUAGUUAAUCAAUAAUAUUUCUUUCUGUUUUAUACACUUAUGCAAUCAAAUAUGAUAUUUUAUUCUAGAAACACUUGGAUGUCCAAAAUCUUUUUGUUUGUAAGUCCUCAACUAUUACAUUUGAAAAUAUUCAAAACUUGUGAAUACAUUAGUCUUUACAACCUUAUAUUCAUAAAUUAUUCAAUGGUUAAAGAACCACCACAUGUCCAUUCUAAGAUACAACUGUUACAGCUACUUAUUCAUUUUUUCUUAUUUUAAUAAAAACUCCAUUUUUUUACCACUGUUAAAACAUAUCAACCAACACUGUUGUAAAUAUUUGCCGAUGGUGUUAGGAAAACAAAUUUGACAUAACUGUUGGUAAAAAUAAUUGCCAUGACAAUCUAUACAAUCACAAAAAGCUCUAAACGAGGAAGUGAGCAAAUAUAGAGCAUUACUCACUUUUUACAAACCUUUGUUUCCUUAGUCAACAUUCUUCUAGUUGUUACCUAAUAUUUUGUAUUACAGAUAUGUAUGUAUAUAUAUAUAUAUAUAUAUAUAUAUAUAAUUUAAAGAGUUGAACCAAGAUAAAUUGAUUUUCCCCCUUUAUUGUCUAUAAUACUAAUUUUACAGUUGUAGUAAAAUGUCCAAAAUUAUAUAAAUAACAAUAACUAGUCGAAAUUCACAAACUAAAAAUGAAUCAUGAUAAAGGUUUAUAUGAUUUAUAAAUAAACAAUGUGUAAAUUUUAUUAUCAGUGAUGAUAUGUAUGUACCAAACAAGACAAAAAUAAUCAUUUCUAAGGUCAGAGUCACCUAAUUUAUAUAUGUUUUAUUAUUAUUACUAUUUUAAGUUUGGAAAGCAAGUAUUAAAUUCCUCUGUAUGCAUAUCUAAAUUUACCGAUUCUCAAAUUUGGGUGGUUCCUCAGAUAGAUUAAAAACAAAAUUUUAGAAAUUUAUUAUUUGCAGCUAAGUUUAUCAUAGAAAUUCUCUUUUCUGUUUAAAUGCAUAAAAAGAGUAAUAAUAAAAUAAAUUCAAAAUGUAUUUGGUAUGGAAAUCCUUUUGCUGGCAAUUCUCAUUGAUUUCAAAUCUUUCUGAACAAUAAGAAAUCACACUAUUUUAAUGAAGGUUAUUUUACACAUCUCUUUGCUUAUUACACUUUAAAAAAUGAAAAAAAUACAUAUAUUCUAAAAUAAGACAAAUAUUUAAAAAGAAAAGUCAUUCAAUUUUAUUUAUCUUUUGAAAAAUUGCAAAAGAAAAUUGUACUUCAAAUUCUAUUUAGUUUCUUAAAAUUAUGACCACUGUGUUGAUAUAAUCUACUUUAUUACAUGUAUUUUAAUAUUUGUAAAUAGAAUUUUAAAAUAAUCAUAAGUUUCCUUUACAAUGUCACUAGCACUUCACCAAUGAAUCCAACAAGCUCUGAAAAAAUGAAGUUUUUUCAAGUGAGAAUCAUGCUGUGGAAUCUUGCAUUGCAAUUCUAUUAUUAAUUAAAAACUUAUUUUUAUUUUGAGUUUCAUCAUUCAUAUUAAUAUAAGUUCUAUAAGUUUAAGGUGCCACAACAAUAGAAUAAUAACUGUAUUAAUUUUAAUAA